rnacentral:lncRNA from 1 species
CCUAGCAUGCUUAGGGUGCUUCCUCUUUCUUUUCUUUGGCCUCUCAGAUUCAUCAUCCGGCCUAUCAACAUCCACCACCUCAACAGGUGGAAAAUCUUCAAUCUCAGCCCCCGAGUUUAGGGGCAACAUCGGCGAUUUAGGCACUGAACUCGCCGAUGUUUGUGCGGAACUCGCCGAUCCCAGUGUAAUCACUCGGCGAGGUUUCUUAAACAUGGGGACACCCCCCUUGCCCUUGGCCGGCGACUUCCCAAGGGGACUCGCCGACUUAGCUGCAAGAGUCGGGGGGAUCUCACCCAGUUCAACAGUAGGCUCUACCACGACA